UCAUGGCUAAGUGGUAGAGCAUCUGUCCUGCAUGCAGAAGGACCCAGGUUCAGUCUCUAGCAUCUCAA